rnacentral:rRNA from 1 species
GACGAACGCUGGCGGCGUGCUUAACACAUGCAAGUCGAACGGAAAGGCCCUGCUUUUGUGGGGUGCUCGAGUGGCGAACGGGUGAGUAACACGUGAGUAACCUGCCCUUGACUUUGGGAUAACUUCAGGAAACUGGGGCUAAUACCCGAUAGGAGCUCCUGCUGCAUGGUGGGGGUUGGAAAGUUUCGGCGGUUGGGGAUGGACUCGCGGCUUAUCAGCUUGUUGGUGGGGUAGUGGCUUACCAAGGCUUUGACGGGUAGCCGGCCUGAGAGGGUGACCGGCCACAUUGGGACUGAGAUACGGCCCAGACUGCUACGGGAGGCAGCAGUGGGGAAUAUUGCACAAUGGGCGGAAGCCUGAUGCAGCAACGCCGCGUGCGGGAUGACGGCCUUCGGGGUGUAAACCGCUUUCGCCUGUGACGAAGCGUGAGUGACGGUAAUGGGUAAAGAAGCACCGGCUAACUACGUG